rnacentral:rRNA from 1 species
AUGAUGUGAGAUCGCGUAAACAGCCAGGAGGUUGGCUUGGAAGCAGCCAUCCUUUAAAAAGUGCGUAACAGCUUACUGGCCGAAUGUGAUCUUGCGCGGAUAAUGUAAGGGGGCUAAAGUCCACUCCCGAAGCUUCGGGAUCGAUAUUUAUAUCGAUCGGUAGGGGAGCGUCGUGUGCAGCAGUGAAGCUUGAGCGGAAGCACAGGUGGAGCGUACACGAGCGAGAAUGCAGGCAUAAGUAGCGAUUACACAGGUGAGAAUCCUGUGCGCCGAAAACCUAAGGUUUCUCCGGCUAUGUUCGUCAGACGGAGGUUAGGCGGUCCCUAAGGCCAGGCCAGAAGGCGUAGCCGAUGGACAUCCGGUUCAAAUUCCGGACCCAGUGUAUGGGCAAUGGGAAGACGUUUCUCAAGGUUCCAACCCGCACCGUUGGUUGUUGCGGGCUACUAGAAGACUUGGCUAGAUGAGAGUUUAGCGGAAUGGUUGACUAGGGCGAAGGGAUCCCUUCGGGGUGAACGAAGUGGGACUGAGGGGGGCCGAGAAAAUCCCCACAGCAAUACCAUGCAUCUGACCGUACUGCAAACCGACACAGGUAGGUGAGUCGAGAAGACUAAGGCGUUCGAGAGAACUCUCGUUAAGGAACUAGGCAAAUGAGCCCCGUAACUUCGGAAUAAGGGGCGCCCCGCAAGGGGCCGCAGCGAAGCAUCCCAGGCGACUGUUUACCAAAAACACAGGUCUCUGCUAAGACGAAAGUCGAUGUAUAGGGGCUGACGCCUGCCCAAUGCCCGUAGGUUAACAGGAGAUGUUAGGAGCAAUCCGAAGCAUUGAAUCGAAGCCCGGGUGAAUGGCGGCCGUAACUCUAACGGUCCUAAGGUAGCGAAAUUCCUUGUCGGCUAAAUACCGACCCGCAUGAAAGGCGUAACGACUUGGGAACUGUCUCAACGAGAAGCUCGGUGAAAAUGUAGCGCCCGUGAAGAUGCGGGCUAUGCGCAGUAGGACGGAAAGACCCCGUGGAGCUUUACUACACCUUGUGAUUGUGAAUUGGAUGUAGAUGUAGAGCGUAGGUGGGAGCUUCGGCACCAAUGGAACACCACCCUUCUACAUCUGGUUUACUAACUGUUGCCCUGAUCGGGUAACAAGACAAUCACUGGCGGGUAGUUUGACUGGGGCGGUCGCCUCCCAAAAUGCAACGGAGGCGUCUAAAGUUACACUCAGGCUGGUUGGAAAUCAGCCGUCGAGCAUAUUGGUAUAGAGUGUGAUUGACUGCGAGACACACAGGUCAAGCAGGUACGAAAGUAGAGCAAAGUGACCCUCUGGUUGUGCGUGGGCACGCCAGGGUUCAUCGGAUAUAAGCUACCCCGGGGAUAACAGGCUGAUCUUGCCCGAGCGCUCACAGCGACGGCAUGGUUUGGCACCUCGAUGUCGGCUCGUCUCAUCCUGGGGCUGUACACGGUCCCAAGGGUUCCGGAGUUCACGGAUUAAAGAGGCACGCGAGCUGGGUUCAGAACGGCGUGAGCCAGUUCGGUCCCUAUCCACUGUGCACGUAAGAAAUUUGAAGGGAGUCGCUCUUAGUACGAGAGGACCGGAGCGAACCGACCUCUGGUGUACCAAUUGUUCCGCCAGGAGCAUACGUUGGGUAGCCACGUCGGGCAGGGAUAAGCGCUGAAAGCAUCUAAGCGCCAAGCCCACCCUAAGAUUAGAUUUCUCAUCAAUAUGAGUAAGGCCUCUGGAAGACCACCAGAUUGAUAGGUCGCAGCUGUACGCACGGUAACGUGUUUAGGUAAGCGAUACUAAUUGGCCGAGGGCGAA